UGUGCCGAUUAUAUCGUGCAUCCCUAAUUAAACGUAUUCAGAGUGAACUACUAUGAAAAAUUUGGGAAAAUCACUUUUACAUGAAAUCACAAUCCAGUCACAAACUGGUGAAACAUUUUAACCUUUAGUUCCUACUUGGUUGCAGGGGAGCUUCUUCCUGCCUUCAUUGAGCAAAAUGGGGGUCUGGCAUGCUGUUCAUGCAUGAUGCAGUAAGAACCGGUUAACAUAAACAGAAUUGAAUUGAACAGCUAGGCCAAGGCCCUAUGUUUAUAAUACCUGAUCCAUCUUUUUUAGCCAGUAUCAGGUCGGUGCAUCCCUUACUUUAAUUUAAGCUUACUGAAUAUAAAAACUUGGCUGUAAUGCAAUAGCUAAGUUGUUCAAAGAGGCUGUUAUUAUCCGUACUGUAUGUUUUAUGUUCUGCUUGCACAAACAGAUUUGUUAAUAAAGUUUAUCAGUACAAAUGCUCCGCAGACCAUUCAAACAUGGCUGCAGACUACAGCUAGCUUCUGUCAUAGAGUCACCCCCGUCAGGUGUUGCCCUCUGCCUCUCCUCUGUCUGUCUUACUCCCUCUCUUCAGCCCUCUCAGUACAUUCUGCUGCCUUCUCAGUCUCUGCAGUCCCUUCUUGUUUUGUCCCGUCUAUGGUUGAUUGUAACAGACUGACUGUUGUUGUCUCCUGAAGGGGGGCACAUAGUACAGUUAACCUCCCAGGCCCCAGGAACCCAGGUCCUCCUCCCUCACAUCUCUCCCCUCCUUCGCCAGCGGCGUGACAGACACCUGAGGGGCCCGGCACAUCACUUGAAAAGGACAGAAGUCGCUGAGACACAGAGGACUACAAGUUAAGAGGAGUAAGCUACAGUUCAACCAGUUUCUCAACCAUUAUCACCUGAGAGGAAAAAAUUGAUGGCAACAAUUUGGUGAGUGAGGAUUGAUAUAUCAGUGCUAUGCUUUUAAUAAGUGAAAAUGACUCAUUUAAAAGUCCUACUUAUACUACAAGAGGACCUUUAGUUCUCUCUUAACUUGCUUAAAAGUUGAAGAGGACAAGCUUCAUAUUUAAACAAAUGUGGUGACCAAAAUAAAACUGGAGUUCUGUGCAUUUAGACAUUUUCUGUCAUGCUCUAGACUUUAGACUUUAGACUUUUAGACUUUAUUGUCCCCUUGGGGAAAUUCUUUUCAACAGCACCUUUCUGCAUUUCCACAGACAUAGACAAUCACAAGAACAUACACUGUAAGCUCAACAAACUAAAGUCGUAUCAUUCAGUGAGGCCUUUCGUUCAGGCUCGCUAUAACAGCAGGGAUCAGGCUCUUGCCAAGGCGAGCCCUUCUGCACCUCAGUGUUCUGUACCUGCCUCCUGAGGGGAGUGGGAUGAGGUGGGUGUUUAGUGAAUGUGUGAUGUCCUGUUGUAUUGAGGUUGUAUGAUGGCCCUGUUGUUUAAGUCUGUGAGGUUUGGUGUGGGGAGACCGAUUAUUUUAGAGGCUGUGGUGGUUAUGCGUGUGUGUUUGGCCUUGUUUUUAACAGAUAACAUGUUGUAGAAGCAACCCAAACUAACACAUAAGAAAAUGUGUACAUUUUGUAUUAACAAUUAGAGUAAGGUAAUUUCUAGCUCACUUUAACAUGAGGAGCACAGUCAAGUUUACAGAGUUGGCGGUUAGAAUUGGACAGGAAAAAUGACAGCAUGCUGAAUGAUUUAUGCCAGAGGUUCACCUUUGUGACCUUUCUGAUUUUAACAGAAUAGAUGGGGAGAGUCCUCAGCAGUCUUUAAAGGUAAAUAGAGAAGUGUCAGUCAUGAUACAUACAAAGAAAAGAAUACAAGAAUCUAUAGAAAUGACCGGAAGUAUUUGCUUUCAAUAAUUCCACUUAACUCAAUGUUGUUUUCAAUGUUGCAGGAGACCGAUCAUUUUUGCCAUGCCACAGAUUUUUGUAUACAAACUCUUCAAUAAAAGGCAAUAAAACAUGUA